UAGGGAAUCUUCGGCAAUGGGGGCAACCCUGACCGAGCAACGCCGCGUGAGUGAAGAAGGUUUUCGGAUCGUAAAGCUCUGUUGUAAGAGAGGAACGUGUGUGAGAGUGGAAAGUUCACACAGUGACGGUAACUUACCAGAAAGGGACGGCUAACUACGUGCCAGCAGCCGCGGUAAUACGUAGGUCCCGAGCGUUGUCCGGAUUUAUUGGGCGUAAAGCGAGCGCAGGCGGUUUAAUAAGUCUGAAGUUAAAGGCAGUGGCUUAACCAUUGUUCGCUUUGGAAACUGUUAAACUUGAGUGCAGAAGGGGAGAGUGGAAUUCCAUGUGUAGCGGUGAAAUGCGUAGAUAUAUGGAGGAACACCGGUGGCGAAAGCGGCUCUCUGGUCUGUAACUGACGCUGAGGCUCGAAAGCGUGGGGAGCAAACAGG
rnacentral:rRNA from 1 species